rnacentral:misc_RNA from 1 species
CAGACCAAGUAUGUGCAUAUAUAUCACUGCUUCCUGAGCCUGAUCAAAGAGAGGUUCCUGGUCCCAAUCCUGAAAUCCUGAAACCUGCAGAAAGAUGCAUGAUCCAUUCAUUUCAAAAAACACUUACUGCUUCGGAUGUAAGCAAGCAUGGUAGUUUAUUUAUUUAUCAAAAGCAUGCAGAGGAAUGUCUACCACCAUUGGUCAGUAUCUAAACUAAAUUAUUGUUUCCAUCCAUGCUGUGUAUCGAAUGUGGUUACUUCUUUCUUGUUGAUGAGUAUGUUUUUGUUCAGGAUAUGUCGCAAGAGCCACCUUGUCAACAAUUGGUUGCAAAAGAUCUGCAUGGAAAACAGUGGCAUUUCCAACAUAUUUAUAGGGGUAAUCCUAAGCGUCACUUACUCACAACUGGGUGGGGUGAGUUUGUUGGUUCAAAAAAGCUAGCAAAAGCAACACGCAGUGUGUUAAUAUUCUUAAGGGAAGAAAAUGGGGAGCUUCGGAUUGGAGUAAGGAAGCCUAUGGGUCAAGAGACAGAUGUUGUUAAACAUGGGGAAAGCAUAUGUUCUGGGAUUCUUUCUAAUGCCUACCAUGCCAUGAUGACUAGAAAUCACUUUUAUGUCAUCUACAGACCUAGAACAACUGGGUCUCAGUUCAUUGUGAGUGUCAACAUGUACCGUGAAGCUCAGAAGCCCAACUUAUUUAAUGGGAUGAGGUUCAUGAUGAAAUUUGAGGGUGAGGAAGGUUGUGAAAAGAGCUUCAAUGGUAGAAUUGUUCAUUUUCAAGAUAAUAUAUCAUCAAGAUGGCCAGAUUCUGAGUGGCGAUCCAUAAAGGUUCAAUGGGAUAAACCUUGUCCACCCUUCCUUCCAGAAAGAGUGUCACCGUGGGAAUUGGAACUGUCUUCCCAACCGAAGCAAAGGAAGAAGCGGGCGCAAGUUGGCUUUAUUGGGGAUGCUUCUCAACUAAAACGUACUAAAGGUAAGGGGAAAUUUAAGGAGAUAUGUUCCACUGUUUAUGAAAAAGGGGAGUGUAGCAAUGUAAUUCAAGGAAAUUUCAUUGCUCAGAGCACUAGAGCUCACGUCAGUGAGCGAGAUGGAACUGAGAAGGAAGGUGAGACUGAGAUGAACAUUUGUGUUGCUAAUGCCCAUGGCGAUGUCAUUCCACAAGAAAAUAGUGGUCCAACAGAAAAAAAUGGUCACAGAGAUGGUAUUGGUGUCAUAGACGAUGAAACUAAUGUUCAGUGUCAAGAUAAAGAGUAUGAUGGCAUUUUGGAUGAAUCCUUGACUGACAUAGAAAAGCGUGGCCCUACGACUCCUGCUUCAGCUGAAUAUCCAAUUCUUCCUGAGAUUCAUACUCUUGAUGUUUUGCCUAGUGACUCCCCUGUUUUUCCCACAUCUCAAGGAGAGAGAGUCGAAUAUUCUCGUCAAUACUCUUUAGAUGAUUGUUAUGAAGAUUUUUAUGGUUUUCAAGUACUACAAACUCAUGUCUCUGACUUACAGCGGAUUUAUUGCAUUGAGGGAAAAUUUUGGGAGAACUCCAGGUUUCAGAGAGCAUAUUUAAUAUCAGCAGUGCUAGAGGGACUUGGUUUGGCAUUGUCCUUGAAGGAUAGAACUUGGAAGUCAUUGAGUCCUGAUGAGUUACAGACCAUAAUACAAGGCAUUGAGGAUGCUUUGAAUGCUGGAUUCAAGGUUGGUUGCCUAAAUCCUGUGGCAGAGAAGGCCAGGGCAGCGCUGGGCUCUUUUGACACUCGUUGCCGGUGUAAGGCAUUGGAGAAGGAAAAAAGUUCUCUUAAAACACGACUUCAGAAUGUAACAUGUGAGUUGCAAAAUCUUGGUAUAGAGCUUAGAUCUAGUACAGAAAGACUUGACUUGGAAUCUAAAUGUUCAGCUGGAAUCUUUGAUUAGUGUCCUUGAAGAGUUCAUCUUCUUUUGUAUGCCAAGAGCCUGCACAUACAGGGAGUUUUGCUGGGAGUGGAAGGGUGAAUAGCAUCAUGAAACUCUUUGGUUGUUUAUUACCACUAGGCCUGGCUAAGGCUGGUUCCGCAUCGAAAUCAACCAUUCUUGGCCUUUGGUGGGCUUGAAUUGGAAUCCGUACUUGAGUAUUUGGUUCGAAUUGGUUCUGGUUCAUUCAUGGUUUCAGGUUGGUUUUGAAACAAUUUUAAGUCCUGUUUGGUUUAACUGUUAGAUAUAACUAAUACCGAUAACCAAUAGCUAUUAAUAACUAAUAGCUAAUAAUUGAUUAGAGGUUAUUUAUGUUUGUUUAGUAAAUUAUGUAUAGCGGUUGCUGUUGAUAUGGAAAAUUACUAAUAAGCA